rnacentral:rRNA from 2 species
UAGUACGAGAGGACCGGAGUGGACGCAUCACUGGUGUUCGGGUUGUCAUGCCAAUGGCACUGCCCGGUAGCUAAAUGCGGAAGAGAUAAGUGCUGAAAGCAUCUAAGCACGAAACUUGCCCCGAGAUGAGUUCUCCCUGAGACUUAGAGUCUCCUGAAGGAACGUUGAAGACGACGACGUUGAUAGGCCGGGUGUGUAAGCGCAGCGAUGCGUUGAGCUAACCGGUACUAAUGAACCGUGAGGCUUAACCUUACAACGCCGAAG